AAUGUUGAUUUUCCACAAAUUUUUGAAAUUGAAUAAGGUAUUAAAGAAGUCAAAUUUCAAUUUUAAUGGGUAAAGUCAAGUGAAGCGAGAAUAAUCGUCAAUAAAUAAAACAUAGUAUACGAAACCAGAAUUUGACUUUACAGGAGAUGGGCCCCAUAGAUCGCAAUGAAUAAGUUCUAGUACCUUUGAAGAUCGAUGUUUAUUACGAGAAUAGGGCGGACGAUGAUUAUUUGCUAUUUGACAUGUACUACAUAAUGCGGGGGAUGGCAAUAAAGAAGAAAGAUGAAGCUGUCCUUUUUUAUUCAGAAAAGAAAUAAAAAAAUGAUUUACAUGUCUAAGGCGAGAAUGCUAUAAAUCAUAUGAAGCAAGAAGAGAUUUAUUUUUUUAGGAUAGAAAGAAAAGUCGAAUUUCUACAUUCUAGCACAUAUAGUCGACCAUCUCCAUCUCAUUUACUGGUCGCCAACACUCUUCCCAUUUGGCGAUUUUGAAUAGUGAAAAAAUUAUUAGUGAACUUAAUAGAUAAUGAAAAGUCAUCCGUUAAUCUAAUAAUUGACAAAAGAUUUUUAGGAUGUGAGGAAUGACCAAAACAUCUAACAGCUGAAAAUCAGGAGAAUGGGAAAUUUACCAGUAUGGGUAAUGGGUAGGGACGCACCAUUUUCGACAAUAACACAAUCCUUACCCAUAUAAGAAGUGGACUGAUCCAAGAGGGUUUGGGCUGAGGCCCCUGUGUCUAAAAACUAAUUCGAGGCCUUGUUUCAAAAAGGGAACAUGGAGAAUUGAGGGCUUCUGCAAGUUGAGCCUCACGGGUAUGACCAAGGCUUUCAUACCGUUUUUGGCACCAGUCUGCAUAGUGACCAUCUGCGCGACAAAUUUGAUAGCGCGGGGGUCGUCUGCGGGAGAAACGUCCCUGUCCUUGUCCGUGAUCGACAGUCUGACUGUGAUUGUUGUGAUAAGAAGAGCUUCGCUGAUUAAACUUCACAGGGUUGCGAUUGGUGGCUUGAACACCGCAGGGGAUGGUGUAGCCAGCUCUAGGGAUUUUUGAAAGAGCUCAAAGCUCUCUACCUUUGGCAUAAGAUCUGAAAAACAUGUCAAAGGGGUGAGGGCCAUUUGGGCCUGGAGAAGAUUGAGAAUUUCGAGCCAAGACCUCGAAGAAAUCAGUGCACUUUGUCAGUGCCAUCAACGGGUCAUCCGAUGACAUGGAGUUGAUCGCAGAGGACCUUGAAGGCGCGGGAGUAUUCCGAAACAGAUCUGGUGCCUAGUUUCAUCAGUUGCAAAUCAUCCUUGAGACGAAUUUCAGGGGCUUUGAAGUGGUGGCUGAAGGUGUUCUCUAAGGCAACUCACAAUUCACUUGAAGUAGAGAGUCCCAAACUUCCACCUUGGCCUCCACGGUGAGGGAGGACCACAGAAGGCUGAGGAGGCAUUGAUCGAUUUGUUUCCAUGGCACAUGUUUGAUAUUUGGUGUCUAAGAAUUUUCAGGGGCAAAACGGGGUGGGGUUUCUAUAGUUCCAUCCACAUAGCCGAUCAGUUCUUGGCUCUCUAAAAUGGGAAGCAAAUGGCUCUACCAUAGGAGAUAGUUGGAAGAGGAUAGUUUGAUUGUAACCAUGUGGAUGAGGGUAUUGAAAGGGAGAAUAUUGGGGGAGGGUUUGACAGCCAUGGGAAGGAAGGCAGGAUCAUGUGAGGGAGGUUAAUCCGUAGAGGGCUCGGAUACCAAAAGAGUGUUUAGAAAAUCACCACACUUUCUAGUGGUGAGUUGCUUUCAUAUUUAUAUCUAUAUCUACAUAAUCGUAUAUGGUAUGAUUACGAUAGAAUGGAAACAAUACAAUUGGCUCUACCAUAGGAGAUAGUUGGAAGAGGAUAGUUUGAUUGUAACCAUGUGGAUGAGGGUAUUGAAAGGGAGAAUAUUGGGGGAGGGUUUGACAGCCAUGGGAAGGAAGGCAGGAUCAUGUGAGGGAGGUUAAUCCGUAGAGGGUUCGGAUACCAAAAGAGUGUUUAGAAAAUCACCACACUUUCUAGUGGUGAGUUGCUUUCAUAUUUAUAUCUAUAUCUAUAUCUACAUAAUCGUAUAUGGUAUGAUUACGAUAGAAUGGGAACAAUACAAUUGAAUGGAAAGAAUUAAGGAAACAAGGAAGAGGCUUCAAUUAUGGGUUAAAUGAGAAUACAAAUGGGAAGUCUUUUUUUCAAUAAACAUUUAUUGUUUUUCCUCAUCUUUUAUUUAAUAUACAUUUUUCUUAUUUGCAAAUGGCUCUUUUAUUUUAAAAAAUUAAAAUAAAGAGCGUGUUGAGGGAUUUAUUUCAGCAUUCACUCUUUAAAAUACAAUGCAUAUCACUUUUGAAUAGUUCAUUGGAGAUGCUCUAACAAGGUUAAUUAUUUGGAAAGUUAAAGUUUAAGAAUAAGUUAAAAUUAUGUUUGAUUUUGUAUCACACGACGUAGACUGGAACACCCUCUAACAUAGUCAAAGGUUCUAACGUUGAAGACAAAGACCAUUUUAUUAAAAAUUCAACAGACGGAGUCAAUGUCGUGCUAUCAUAAAUCCAAAGUAAGAGAAUUUUUAUUCAAUAAAUUCUUUCUUUAUAUAUCUGCGUUCAAAUUACUGUUUUUACGCAGUCUGUGUAAUGAUUUACAACUUCCUGCAAUCUUCCUUGCACCAACACUGCUGUUUCUCUCUCAAAGCUAUAUAAAUACACACGAAGAACAGAGAAAGAGAGAGAGGUUGCAUUUUCAAUGUCUC
rnacentral:lncRNA from 1 species